UCAGCUGACAGUUUAUUUUUCAACAAUUAGGUCAAAAUUCAUUAGGAUACAUUCAAAAGAAACUCAUUUCUGACGCAAAUCACUAACCAAUAAGUAAUAACAGAAUCUGCACGCCGAAUUACCUGCUAAAUCUAAUGUCUUCAGGUGUUUGUUGAGAUGACAGUGCCCCGAUAUGACUCUCGUUAGUAUUCGUUGAUUAUUCUUAUUCAGGUUGGUACAUUCAAAGGAUCUUCACUGGUUAUAGUUUUCCAGAAGAGUCUUUGCCUGUCUCAGUCCCUGUAGGUUGUCCCAAUAAUUGGUUUUGUUCCUAUCUACCUCUUUUCCAGCGCUUUUUCCAUUGUUCUGUAGCUGAUACCACAGAAGAAGUAAGCAACUAUACUUGUUAGCACCCGAAAUUAACAAUUAAAAAACAGUCCACAAUAUGUUCGAUGUCUUCUUUGGAUAUGGCCAAAUCUGAAUCUUGAUAUUUUCAUUUGCUCUAGCCGUCUGGAUGUUAAAGGUAGUAGUACUUUCAUAACAAGUAGUACUUACUGAAAACUACCUGCAAAAAUUUUAAUAUUUUUUUUCUCUGUAAAUAUUAAUCAAAGAAUUGAAAAAAAAUAUAAUGAAAGUUGUAUAUACACUAUCCAAAACAA